rnacentral:rRNA from 1 species
UACGUAGGGUGCAAGCGUUGUUCGGAUUUACUGGGCGUAAAGGGCGCGUAGGCGGCCACCGCAAGUCGGUUGUGAAAGUCAAAGGCUCAACCUUUGAAUGCCGAUGGAUACUGUCGGGCUAGAGUCCGGAAGAGGCGAGUGGAAUUCCUGGUGUAGCGGUGGAAUGCGCAGAUAUCAGGAGGAACACCGAUGGCGAAGGCAGGUCUCUGGGCCGCAACUGACGCUGAGGAGCGAAAGCAUGGGGAGCGAACAGG